GCAAAUUUUGCAAGUGCAUAAGCAAUCAGAUUAGCCUCUCUAAGCACAUGAACACAAUAAAUGAAACGGCAAACAUCCUCCAUUAAUAGUGAUUGGAUACUAGUUCCAAAUUAUGGAGGCAACACCAAUCUUUUUUGCACAUGAUUAACAAGAAGCAGGGAAUUUGAUUCUAAUGUGAAAACUCGGAACCCAGCAUCCCUUGCAUGCUGAAUGCCAAGACAAACAACCUCUACUUCCUCAUCUUUAGGAGGAAGAGAAUGGUUAAGGCGAAAAGCAGCAAACAUGAGAGUCUCCCCUCUGUGGUUACGUAGCGCCAUUCCUAACCAACAACAAACCACAAUUGCCACAUCCACAGUCAUUUUCAAUGCAUCAGUACCAGGCGCUUUCCGUUUAACGGAACCAUUAAAGGUCUAAUAGAACCUUCUGAGGAACGGAAUUGUUGAUAUUCCUGUAAGAGUGUACUAGCUUUGGAAAUAAUCUGAUCAGAUGGAAAAACAAUCCCCUUAAAGAGAGCUGAAUUUCUGGAAUUCCAACAAGCCCAUAACAACAUACAAAAUUGAUGAAAGCGUUCCAAUUUAUCCUUGCAAACUUUAAAACACUGAACAAAAGAUGAAAGUUGAUUCGUUAUAACUGAACAAAGAGGAGAGACUUGCCAUAUAGCCGAAGCACUAGAACAUUCAUAAAGAGCAUGUGUGAUGGUCUCUUCAUGACUAUUGCAUCUGGCGCAUAAGGAACUGAUAUCCACACCUCUUCUACACAACUCAAAAGCUACCGAAAGUUGAUUGUUGCAAGCCCUAUACAGAAAAUGACGUACUUUGGGGGGCAGGCUCAUAUUCCACAAAUAUUUCCACAUAGAAUCAUAUGCAAGUCCUGAUGAAUUAGCUGAAGUAGAAUUGCGCUCAGCUCCAUAGCUAAAUAAUAGGCACUAUUAAUAAUAAAGAGAUCAGUUUUGUUAUAAUGCCAAAUUAGAAUAUCUAUUUCUCUUGCUGGACAUAGGGGAAUGACACAAAUUUGAGAAGUAUUAAAGGGUAUGAAUAUUGUGUUAAUUAAAGAACUAUCCCACCGAAAUUGACCCUCCUCUAAAAACAUAUCAACAGUUGCAUUUUCAUCCAGAAUUGAGGGGGUAGACCAUACCCAAAAUCCAUUUUGAGCUGGAAGCCAAGCAUCUUUCCAAAUAUGCACUACCACUACCAACCAGCCAUCUUGACCAUUUUUCCAUUAAACAUCGAGCAUGCAUCAAACU
rnacentral:misc_RNA from 1 species